CGCUGGCGGCAUGGCUAAAAACAUGCAAGUCGAACGUGCCCGCAAGGGCAAGUGGCGAAAGGGGUCAGUAACGCGAUCGAAUGUACCUAUGGGUUGAGGAUAGCCGUGGGAAACUGCGGGUAAUACUCGAUGAUGUCUCCGGACCAAAGAUUUAUCGCCCUAAGAGCAGCGAUCGUCCUAUCAGGUAGUUGGCGGGGUAAAGGCCCACCAAGCCUAAGACGGGUAGCAGGUGUGAGAGCACGACCUGCGACAUCGGGACUGAGACACUGCCCGGACUCCUACGGGAGGCUGCAGUACGAAUCUUCCGCAAUGGGCGCAAGCCUGACGGAGCAAUGCCGCGUGUGGGAUGAAGCGGCUACGCCGUGUAAACCACUGUCAGGGACUAGAACCAAUGAUCAGU
rnacentral:rRNA from 1 species